GGGAAGGUUGGGGGAAGAGCGCCCCGCGUCACGUGACGCCACCUCACCCCUCCUCCUCCUUUCCCGCCCAGCUGCCCGCGCGCGCAGCUCGGUCGCUUCUCCCCUCAGGAGGAGCCCGGGAUGAGGGGGGGGGGGGGGAAGCGGCUGACGGGAUCCCCCCAGGAUCCUGCCUCUCCCUGGGGAAAAGGGACAACGGCAAUGCCCCAGAGAGGCGUCUCGGGGUGCCCCCCCGGUCUCCCCCGAGGUUAGAGCUCUGCCCUCAGCGCUUCGCAGUCUGGGAGUUGAGAACUGUCAGCGCUUUCCCCUCAGGUGGGCACGGGAGAGGUGAGAACGGGAGAAAUGGCCUCUACCCCCCCUCCGGCAGCCCGCUGCGUCUGUAGGCUCUGCCUGAGCCUCUCAACCCCCCUCAUACCUCCCAGAGGAUCGGGGCUUUCCUCAGAAAGUCCUCUAAGGAGAAGUACGGAGUGACAGGAGGAAGUUCCGGUGCCAUUAAAAUGUCCUUUCGGUGCCUGGAACAGAAACACGGACUGAAUGACAGAAACCACUGUGUCGUUGGAAUGGAAGCAAAGGAUUCCUCUGCAGUUCCAUCCUCAGCAGCAAAGAAAAAAAAAUGUUGUGACAAGAGGAAGUGCAAAUAAUUAAUAACAGCAGAUCAAAAGAAAGGAGUGUCUUUGCAAGAAGUGACUAAUGAUUACUCAGUUUCAGACAAGUCCAAAUUGCAUUGUAGCAAGAGGACACUUGGAUUGCCCCCAGAGUGCAACAGCAAACCCGAGGCUCAGCAGGCAGCAGCUUACCACUGUGGCACAACAGGGCAGCUUUCCCUUUCAAAGAGAGAGCUGCUUUCUUCUCAGCUCAACAGCUGCUCCACACAGGGUCUCCAACAUCUUUGCUGUUUGAUUGUUGUAUAUAGAAAAAGCAAGAGCAAAGCAUAAAACAUGUAAGGACUCCAUGGAACAUUUUGCCAGCAGCUGACACAAUGGAAAGCACAUCUCAGAGCAGCAGGACAGCAGAGGAAAACAAAAACUAUGAAGCCAGCACCAUCGUGUCAUUUGGCACAUCCUUGCACUUCCCUUGAUUCUGUUUCAGAUCUUGGAAGGGAAAGCCAAAGCAUCUUAUUUGCUUAAUUAAGGCUUCACAUGUUUCAAACACUGAACAAAGGACAUCCCCAAAUAGAGGAACCUGCCAGCCUUCCUGGCACUGCCAAGAGACUGAUGUCUCAGUUCAACACUUUGACAACACAGAUAGUGAAAGAACUCUGGACAAUUACACACACAGAUGUGUAUGCACAAACUGAUGGUGAUCCAGAAGUUACACCUCCCUGCUUCAGGACACUCCAGACUCCCUACAGAGAUUAAAAAAAAGACAUGAAAAUAACAGACCUGUAUUUUAUGCUGUGAAACAGCUAAUGAUAGUAAUUAAAGAUUUCAAAGUUCUUUUCCAAGCAGCAUUAUCUAAGUAUCAUGCCUGUAAUCUGUCCAGAGACUCAAUGAAGAACUGCUGAUCAAGCCACCAAAACAACAAAAAAGGUCCAGUGGCUUGCCAUCUGCUCCAACCACUACCUCACACCUCAUUCCCCUGUAUGCAGCAGUAAGCCACAACAGGAUGCUGAUGACCAGAUUGUCUACCUGUCAUUUCAGCUCAACACUCAGUGGCUGUUGAUGUCAGCUCUCCAAACUAAACAUGACAGAUCACUGCUGGACAAAUGGCUCCUUCAACUUUAGGGCUUGCCAUUUUUGUGGAUCAAUUCUAUCCAUGCAGCCAGGCUGCAAGAUGCAAAGUAUGGAGGAGGCUGAUAAUGUUCCUUCAGUUCCUGAGUGCUUCAGGCAGCUUAAAAGAUAUGACAUGAGCAAACACCAUUAAAAACAUGAAGAGAAACAUCUGCAGAACUGUUGGAAUGUAAAAUGAUGUAGGAACACCUGAAGAUCUGUCUGUUGACAGAGGGGCAUCCAGCA